rnacentral:rRNA from 1 species
UACACGACCGUACCGCAAACCGACACUGGUGCGCGAGAUGAGUAUUCUAAGGCGCUUGAGAGAACUCAGGAGAAGGAACUCGGCAAAUUGACACCGUAACUUCGGAAGAAGGUGUGCCUUUAGUAGGUGAACCUGUAUAAGGGGAGCCCAAUGAGGUUGCAAAAAAUCGGUGGCUGCGACUGUUUAAUAAAAACACAGCACUCUGCAAACACGAAAGUGGACGUAUAGGGUGUGACGCCUGCCCGGUGCUGGAAGAUUAAAUGAUGGGGUGCAAGCUCUUGAUUGAAGUCCCAGUAAACGGCGGCCGUAACGAUAACGGUCCUAAGGUAGCGAAAUUCCUUGUCGGGUAAGUUCCGACCUGCACGAAAGGCGUAACGAUGGCCACACUGUCUCCUCCUGAGACUCAGCGAAGUUGAAAUGUUUGUGAUGAUGCAAUCUCCCCGCGGAAAGACGGAAAGACCCCAUGAACCUUUACUGUAGCUUCGUAUUGGACUUUGAACAGAUCUGUGUAGGAUAGGUGGGAGGCUUUGAAGUGUGGUCGCUAGAUCGCAUGGAGCCAACGUUGAAAUACCACCCUGGUGUGUUUGAGGUUCUAACCUAGGCCCGUAAUCCGGGUCGGGGACAGUGCAUGGUAGGCAGUUUGACUGGGGCGGUCUCCUCCCAAAGCGUAACGGAGGAGUUCGAAGGUACGCUAGGUACGGUCGGACAUCGUGCUAAUAGUGCAAUGGCAUAAGCGUGCUUAACUGCGAGACUGACAAGUCGAGCAGAUGCGAAAGCAGGACAUAGUGAUCCGGUGGUUCUGUAUGGAAGGGCCAUCGCUCAACGGAUAAAAGGUACUCUGGGGAUAACAGGCUGAUACCGCCCAAGAGUUCAUAUCGACGGCGGUGUUUGGCACCUCGAUGUCGGCUCAUCUCAUCCUGGGGCUGUAGCCGGUCCCAAGGGUAUGGCUGUUCGCCAUUUAAAGAGGUACGUGAGCUGGGUUUAAAACGUCGUGAGACAGUUUGGUCCCUAUCUUCCGUGGGCGCUGCAGAUUUGGGGAAGCCUGCUCCUAGUACGAGAGGACCGGAGUGGACACACCUCUGGUGUAUCGGUUGUCACGCCAGUGGCAUUGCCGAGUAGCUAUGUGUGGAAGAGAUAACCGCUGAAAGCAUCUAAGCGGGAAACUCGUUUCAAGAUGAGAUCUGCCGGGGCCUUGAGCCCCCUAAAGAGUCGUUCAAGACCAGGACGUUGAUAGGUCGGGUGUGGAAGCGCAGUAAUGCGUUAAGCUAACCGAUACUAAUUGCUCGUGCGGCUUGACC